rnacentral:tRNA from 1 species
AAGAUUUUAAGUUAAUAAAACUAUUAAUUUUCAAAAUUAAAUUUAAAGAAUACUUCUUUAAGUCUUA